rnacentral:rRNA from 1 species
GAGUAACGCGUGGGUAACCUGGCCCAUACAGGGGGAUAACACUUAGAAAUAGGUGCUAAUACCGCAUAACAACAGAAAGCGCAUGCUUUUUGUUUGAAAACCAAGGUGGUAUGGGAUGGACCCGCGUCUGAUUAGCUGGUUGGCGGGGUAAAGGCCCACCAAGGCGACGAUCAGUAGCCGGCCUGAGAGGGUGGACGGCCACAUUGGGACUGAGACACGGCCCAAACUCCUACGGGAGGCAGCAGUGGGGAAUAUUGCACAAUGGGGGAAACCCUGAUGCAGCGACGCCGCGUGAGUGAAGAAGUAAUUCGUUAUGUAAAGCUCUAUCAGCAGGGAAGAAAAUGACGGUACCUGAGUAAGAAGCCCCGGCUAACUACGUGCCAGCAGCCGCGGUAAUACGUAGGGGGCAAGCGUUAUCCGGAUUUACUGGGUGUAAAGGGAGCGUAGACGGCAGUGCAAGUCUGGAGUGAAAGGCGGGGGCUCAACCCCCGGACUGCUCUGGAAACUGUACGGCUGGAGUGCAGGAGAGGUAAGUGGAAUUCCUAGUGUAGCGGUGAAAUGCGUAGAUAUUAGGAGGAACACCAGUGGCGAAGGCGGCUUACUGGACUGUAACUGACGUUGAGGCUCGAAAGCGUGGGGAGCAACAGGAUUAGAUACCCUGGUAGUCCACGCUGUAAACGAUCAAUACUAGGUGU